AUCGCUUCUCAGCCUUUUGGCUAAGAUCAGGUGUAGAUGUUUCUGAUGUGUUUAGCAGUAUUUGCUACUUAAGUAUAUUAAUUUCAUUUGCUUUUUAAAAAACUGUUUAGUCUCUGGUAGCACUGAUUGAAAAUGUUUGCUUUCUAUACACUAGGUAUAACUCGGAAAAAUCCAA
rnacentral:snRNA from 1 species